GAAACAUUUUUCGCAGUUAGUCCAUUUUAUUUCCGCUAUAGUUUAACCAGGCAAAUACUAUUGCAUUGACAGGGUAAUCAGCCAAUCAGUGAUGAUCAGAACAUAAUGGUCGGGUAUAACUGCAAUGACAGGUCCAUCAUAGUGUGCAUCUUCUCUUGUAUCUCUCUUUCUCUCUCUCUUCACAUAUUGGUGUCGUCUUUGGACAGUGUCACAUAGAAAGAUGAGUGAACCAUUAGAGCUCAUUCUGUAAAUCUGAAUUCACCGAAAAUCACUUUACAAAGAAACAGCUUCACAUAACUAUAAAUACUAUGCUUCUAUCCUCACUUAUAUAUGAGGGGCAAAUGUUCAGCCCUUAGUAUAAUACAAUGUCAAAACAAUUUACACGUUUUUUUUUUUUUUUUUAUCCCAAUGAUCUUUAUGUGUUGCAAUUUAUCACAAUCCUUCCACGUUCAGUAUGGACGUGUGUUAAAGCGCACUGUUCAACCCACAUAUUUUUUUCUGAGGAGUUUCCUCAAGAACUGAAGAAAGCAGCCACACAUUCACACAUUUCACCAGUGCGAUAAUGAUUCGCCUGAUUGUGUUGGGUGAGUCAAAUUUCUCUUUCUUUAUUUUACCCGUUAUUUUCACUCACUCUUUACUUAGGCCUAAUUAUAGAUAUUUGUCAUAAUUUAUUAAAAGAACGGCAACAGUAUAACUCAGCAAGUUUACGCAAACUCCAGUAACGGAAGAUGUAUAUUAGGCUACAUUAUCUGUACUGUAGUUGUCUACCCAGUAACCAAAUAAGCUAAGCGUAGGCUACGUCAGAAACUCUGUGCUGUUUAUUUUUUCCGCAGCAGUGUUUUUACCUGAUUUCUGUUUUUAGCUUUGACCCAUAACAUAGUAUUUGGCAACGAUCAACCCACCUUCGUCACAGCAAGUUGCAGAGAUGACAUAACUUUACACUGUACUUUCCAUAAAACCUGUCAGAACUACACCUCUGUUACGUGGUACAAGUUCCACAAUAACAGCAGUGACAGAGCUACAAAAAUGACAAUCGUCAUAAAAUCAGAAAAUGUCAUCCAGACUGAUAAGCAUAACAAUUCUGUGUCACUGGAUAAAAAUGCAUCUUUGGUCUUAAGGAAAGUUGCUCCUGCCAAUUCUGGGAUCUACAUGUGUUUAAUAAGAGCCAAAGCUGGAGGAAUGAACUGUCAAAAUCGGGUUAGACUUAAUAUCUCAGAUUGUGUGUCAACAGCUUCACCCAUCAUCUUUGAUUUCUCCACCGCGUUUAUUAAUGAAUCAUGGGCAAACAUUGGCAUCCCAUUGCCUCAUGUAAAUGAUGAUUCAGUGCUCUUUGUCCUUUGGGGUUGUGUAGGAUUAGCUCUGAGUAAACUUGUCCUCAGUGCCAUUUGCAUAUGGGUUUUCAAGGAACUCAGUAAACUUAAAAGAAGACAGACUUAAGACCAACCACUGUUUACCUGCCAUAUGGUUUAGUAAUUUAUUAUCAUCCUUUUAAUAAUUUAUCUGUGAAUUUACCUGUGAAUAAUAAACUUAAUGCAACAGUUAAUGAAACCGUACUGAUACUCUGAAGAACUGAUCUUUAUAUGUUAUAUUUAUUUCCGCAAUAUCCUUAUCAGUGUUAUUUUAGAAUUAUUUAUAGUAUUAUAUACUAUUAUAGCACUUUUAACUUAAUAGCUUUUAUUUUUAUA